rnacentral:rRNA from 1 species
AGAGUUUGAUCAUGGCUCAGGAUGAACGCUAGCUACAGGCUUAACACAUGCAAGUCGAGGGGAAACGAUAUUGGAAGCUUGCUUCCGAUAGGCGUCGACCGGCGUACGGGUGAGUAACGCGUAUCCAACCUGCCCACCACUUGGGGAUAAUUCCCCCCCCCCCCCGGAAAGUAAGACUAAUACCCAAUGACGUCUCUAGAAGACAUCUGAAAGAGAUUAAAGAUUUAUCGGUGAUGGAUGGGGAUGCGUCUGAUUAGCUUGUUGGCGGGGUAACGGCCCACCAAGGCGACGAUCAGUAGGGGUUCUGAGAGGAAGGCCCCCCACAUUGGAACUGAGACACGGUCCAAACUCCUACGGGAGGCAGCA